CCCAGCAAUCGACCGAAAUGGAAGGACGUCAAAACCCAUUCGAGCCUCGACGACGUGAACCUCGACGUCGACGUCAACACGAUGGUAAACCCCUCGUUCUCACCCCCAUCAGUUGUAGUGGACGCAAAACUCAACCAUUUCGGAGAUGCAGAUGAAAUGGAAGCAGACAACUCCAGUGCUGUCAGCCACUUCUGCGUUGGCGACAGCAUGGGUAACAUUUAUUCUUCUUCAUCUUCAUUUGAUCUGAGGGUGGUUCUAUAUUCUUUAUGCAUUUUAUAUUUGGAGCGAUUGGGUUUUGAUUUUGAAGGCAACCGGUGAACGGGAAAAUGCUUGUUCUAUUAAAGUGUGCUUUUGAGUUUUGAUUGCUCUAUACGAGUUUGGAAUAUUUUAAUUUUUUUCCUUUUCUGUUAUGGGCAUUGAGUAUACCAAAUUAGCUUACAUGGUGGCACAUGACGAGGGACAAUGCAAGCGCAUUACGGAGUGGAUCGAAUUCCAAACGGUUAAUUGACGUCAAAAUCCAAUCAAGUCGCCUCACAAUCCUUUGAAACGGGAAUGUUUGCAGUGGAGACAUCUUAAAUCUAAAAGAUUGGAGAACUAAAGGAGCACCUAAAAAAAACUGUCGAAAAGGUCAUUUUCGAAAAAAUCUCCAUUAAAUGUUGAGGAAGUUCAAACGACGAACAAUUUUUGUUCUCAAAAUUUUGUGACACAAGAGAGCGUGUCCGGUUGUGCGAGUAAAUGUUGAUGCAGUUCAAUUCCUGAAUUCAUCAAGCUGCUAAUUGUAGAAGGUCCUCAUUUUGUGAAGCUUCUAAACUUGGAUAAGCAGUUUGAAUGAUUUGGAGAAGUAGUUUGCAUAUGUUAUGCAUGUAGGAUAAUUAAAUUCAGUGUCUGUCUGUAUAAUGUGUUUGCUAACUCUUUGCAUAAACGGUAAGUAAAUAUAGUUUGAAUGCUUGGUUUAA